rnacentral:rRNA from 1 species
AUACGAAGGGUGCGAGCGUUAAUCGGAAUUACUGGGCGUAAAGCGCGCGUAGGCGGUUGGAUAAGUCGGAUGUGAAAGCCCCGGGCUCAACCUGGGAAUUGCAUUCGAAACUGUCCGGCUAGAGUAUGGUAGAGGGAAGCGGAAUUCCACAUGUAGCGGUGAAACGCGUAGAUAUGUGGAGGAACACCAGUGGCGAAGGCGGCUUCCUGGACCAAUACUGACGCUGAGGUGCGAAAGCGUGGGGAGCAAACAGGAUUAGAAACCCUAGUAGUCC